rnacentral:rRNA from 1 species
GUGUCAGCCGCCGCGGUAAAACGUAGGAGGCAAGCGUUAUCCGGAGUUACUGGGCGUAAAGCGUGUGUAGGUGGUUCUUCAAGUUCGGUGUGAAAGCGCCCGGCUUAACUGGGCGAGGACAUUGAAGACUGAAGGGCUAGAGGGUGGUAGAGGGGCGUAGAAUUCCGGGUGUAGCGGUGAAAUGUGUAGAGAUCCGGAGGAAUACCAGUGGUGCAGACGGCGCCCUGGGCCAUACCUGACACUGAGACACGAAAGCGUGGGGAGCGAACGGGAUUAGAUACCCGCGUAGUCC